rnacentral:rRNA from 1 species
GACGAACGCUGGCGGCGUGCUUAACACAUGCAAGUCGAACGGUGAAGGGGUCUGCUUUUGUGGGCCCUGGAUGAGUGGCGCACGGGUGAGUAACACGUGAGUAACCUGCCCCCUUCUUCUGGGUAACCGCAUGAAAGUGUGGCUAAUACGGGAUAUUCUGGGUCUGUUGCAUGCUGGGUCUGGUCAGGAUUGCGCCUUUUGGUGUUUUUGGUGGGGGAUGGGCUCGCGGCCUGUCAGCUUGCUGGUGGGGGGAUGGCCUAGCAAGGCGGUGAAGCGUAGCCGGGAUGAGAGGGUGGACGGCCACAAUGGAAACGAGACACAGACUACACUCGUAGGGGAGGCAGCGGUGGAGUAGACUGCGCGAUGGGGGCAAGCCUGGUGCAGCGACGCCGGGUGAGAGAGGGUUCGCUUUGGGUUGUAAUUCUGUUGCGAAAGUAAAGCAGGCCUGUUCCUUGUGGGUGUGUUGACGGUAGCUGGAGAAUAAGCGCCGGCUAACUACGUG